AACGUAGGAGACGAACGUUAUCCGGAGUUACUGGGCGUAAAGGGCGUGUAGGCGGUUUGUUAAGUCUGGCGUGAAAGCUCUCGGCUAAACCGGGAGAGGUCGUUGGAUACUGGCGAACUAGAGGAUGGUAGAGGCGUGUGGAAUUCCGGGUGUAGUGGUGAAAUGCGUAGAGAUCCGGAGGAACACCAGUGGCGAAGGCGAGUCCCUGGACGAUACCUGACACUGAGGCACGAAAGCUAGGGGAGCAAACAGG
rnacentral:rRNA from 1 species